GAUGAACGCUGGCGGCGUGCCUAAUACAUGCAAGUCGAGCGAAUGGAUUAAGAGCUUGCUCUUAUGAAGUUAGCGGCGGACGGGUGAGUAACACGUGGGUAACCUGCCCAUAAGACUGGGAUAACUCCGGGAAACCGGGGCUAAUACCGGAUAACAUUUUGAACCGCAUGGUUCGAAAUUGAAAGGCGGCUUCGGCUGUCACUUAUGGAUGGACCCGCGUCGCAUUAGCUAGUUGGUGAGGUAACGGCUCACGAAGGCAACGAUGCGUAGCCGACCUGAGAGGGUGAUCGGCCACGCUGGGACUGAGACACGGCCCAGACUCCUACGGGAGGCAGCAGUAGUGAAUCUUCCGCAAUGGACGAAAGUCUGACGGAGCAACGCCGCGUGAGUGAUGAAGGCUUUCGGGUCGUAAAACUCUGUUGUUAGGGAAGAACAAGUGCUAGUUGAAUAAGCUGGCACCUUGACGGUACCUAACCAGAAAGCCACGGCUAACUACGUGCCAGCCGCCGCGGUAA
rnacentral:rRNA from 1 species